CAAGAUUUUAUGACACUUAUAAAAGUCUUCGUAAUUUAUUUACAACACAAGGCUCUAUGUCAGAUUGUCAUAUAAUAAUGAAAAUCACUAAGAAGCCAAUUAAUACAUUACAAUGUUUAAUGUCACACGUGCUAAGGCUCUAUACCACACAUGCAUAGAAAACUAAUUUUUGCACCAAUCAUGAGAAUUUGCACUUAAUGAAUUAGUGUUCUCCUGUUCAUACUUUUCUUCUCAAUUCAUCGUCUCAUGCCUCUAAAUAUCUUUGGUGUUGAACCCGUUGCCUUAUUCUUUCUUUCGAGUACAUAUUCAAGGCAUUGUACAAUUUUGGUGAUAGCUAAGAAAGUUAUAUAUGCAUGCAUAACAAAUUUGUUACUAAAGGUUUUGGCUAAAGGAGAUUCUAUUGAUAUUUGCAUUUCUAUUUUGGAGAUCAACAACUUAAGACUGGUAACAAAACAUCGGUAUACAUGAGGUAUAAUUUGUUUUUUUUGGGUGAAAGAACAUUUGGAUUUAAAAGUUGUUGUGAUAAUUCUUCAUGGAAGCCAUACUCAUAUUGCAUUGACGUAGAUGAGGGGAAAAAACACCUUAAAAUUGUGUUAUAUUAAUGCAAAUGAAUAUUACAAAAAAUUGAGAAAAUGUAAUACAAUUGAUUACGGAAGCUUAUUUAUAGUCAUUCACAAACAAGUAGAUAAGUGUUAACUUCUUACUAAUAAAUGAUACAUGACUACUAACUAUAUACUUAAUAUAUUGUAAGACCAAUUUGUCUUACAUUAACACAUGAUCGAGUUUAUGACAAGUGUACGUCAACACCGCCACAGUUCAUAAAUGUCCAAAAAAACUGUUUGUAUUAAAAACUUUUUUUUAAAUGGAUUUUUGUUAAAAAUUUGAUAGAAUAAUUAACAUGUACCAAUUUAUUUUUGUUAAGACUAUAAUUAAAGCUUUUUUCUCAAGGACUAAUAUGAGAUAUGUGACUUUUGUAAGGGAUGAGAAUGACAAUUCACUCUAUUAAUAAUAUUGUUAAUUAAUAUAUAAGCAAAGAAAGAAUUACUAAUUUUUUGAGUCAAAUAAUGCACAUUGAAGAAUGUAGUAUAGGAAUUAGGAUUGAGAAUAAGAUCCAGCUAGAACAGAACCAUACUGCAUUAUGGGAUUUUCAUGAACCAUGCAUAGCCGUCUGACCCAUAUGAUGUUACGGAAUUUCAUGCACACCCACAUAUGGCAUUAAAAGUGAGGUGUGGGUUAAGACUUAAGAAUAAGGGAUUGUUAUGAUGGUAUUCUUAAUCUUAAAAAAAGUAAAAUUCAAUGUUUCGCUUUGAUGGAUUUGGUACUCAAAAAGAAGUUAUACCCUACUCAUGCAACAAAUAAAGCAAAAUUAAAGGUCUAAAACUAUUCUUUGCAACUCUUCACAAGCAAAGCCAAUGGACAAAAAGUCAACUAUAAAAAGAUAAGUCACAACUUUUUCUAUACAUCAAUUAUUUUUCAAAUAAUAUAGUGAGAAGGGGAAAAGGUAAGACAGUCAAGGUUUUGUUACAAAUCACAUGAUCA
rnacentral:lncRNA from 1 species